rnacentral:SRP_RNA from 13 species
GCCGGGUGCGGUGGCAUGUGCCUGUAAUCCAAGUCACUGGGAGGCUGAGGUUGGUGGAUCAAGUGAGCUGAGGAGCUCUGGGCUGCAGCACUCUAUGUCGAACGGGUGUCCACGCUAAGUUCGGUAUCGAUAUGGUGUUCCUGGGGGAGCCUGGGACCACCAGGUUGUCUAAGGAGGGGUGAACCGGCCCAGGUCGGAAACGAAGCAGGUCAAAUCCCCGUGCUGUCCAGUAGUGGGAUAAUACCUGUGAGUAGAUGCUGCAGUGCAGCCUUGGCAAAACAUUGAGACCUAAUCUUUU